CCCCUGGUAGUAUAUCGGUUAGUACGCGUGCCCAGAGUGGACAGGAAAUAGUCUAUUUACAUGAACGCGAAAGCCGGGUUCGACUCCUAGCCAGGGGU